GUGGAUGUAGUGUGUGUACUGUGAAUACAGGAUGUUUGUGUAGUGGAUGCUGUGUGUACAGUUAAUGCAGAGUGUAUGUUAGUGUAGUGAAUGCAGAGUGUGUGUCAGUAUAGUGAAUCCAGAGUGUAUGCAUAGUUUAGUGAAUGCAGAGUGUGUGUUAGUGUGUAGUGAAUGCAAAGUGUGUCAGUGUAAUGAAUGUAGUGUGUGUGUUAGUGCAG